rnacentral:rRNA from 1 species
GACGAACGCUGGCGGCGUGCUUAACACAUGCAAGUCGAACGCUGAGGCUUGGUGCUUGCACUGGGUGGAUGAGUGGCGAACGGGUGAGUAAUACGUGAGUAACCUGCCCUUGACUCUGGGAUAAGCCUGGGAAACUGGGUCUAAUACUGGAUACGACCUGUCACCGCAUGGUGGUGUGUGGAAAGGGUUUUGCUGGUUUUGGAUGGGCUCACGGCCUAUCAGCUUGUUGGUGGGGUAAUGGCUCACCAAGGCGACGACGGGUAGCCGGCCUGAGAGGGUGACCGGCCACACUGGGACUGAGACACGGCCCAGACUCCUACGGGAGGCAGCAGUGGGGAAUAUUGCACAAUGGGCGGAAGCCUGAUGCAGCGACGCCGCGUGAGGGAUGACGGCCUUCGGGUUGUAAACCUCUUUCAGCACGGAAGAAGCGAAAGUGACGGUACGUGCAGAAGAAGCGCCGGCUAACUACGUG